CUUCAAAACCCUCGCACAUCAGCAAAGCCCUAACCCCAUACUCUCUCUCUCUCUCUCUCUCUCUCUCUCUCCCCUCUGGUUAUUCAAUGGCCGAUUCGACUCACUUGGUUAAGCACAUAGAAUCCUAUGUUGACUCUUCUAGCUCUCCUUCUCAGCAGAGUGCAAGUUUAGAUGCAAUUACUGCUCUCUUGAAGAAUGACAUGUUAACUAUUGAAGCACUUGUUAGAGAGAUGGAGAUGUAUUUGACUAUUACAGACAGCAUUAUUCGUGCAAGAGGUAUACUUCUUCUUGCUGAGUUGCUGGGACGUCUUGCAUCAAAGCCUGUGGAUGAUGCUUCCAUACGUAGCUUAAUAGGAUUCUUCACAGAAAGGCUGGCAGAUUGGAAGGCCUUGCGUGGUGCAAUUGUUGGUUGUUUGGCACUAUUGAAGAGGAAAAGUAAUGUUGGCAUGGUUACUGUUAAUGAAGCAAGAGCAGUUGUCCAGUCCUAUCUACAAAACUUACAGGUGCAAUCCUUGGGACAGCAUGAUAGGAAGAUCUGCUUUGAACUUCUGGAGUGCAUAUUAGAUUGCUACCCUGAUGCAGUUGUGGCACUGGGUGAUAACCUUGUCUAUGGAAUCUGUGAAGCUAUUGAUGGAGAAAAAGAUCCUGAAUGCCUAAUGAUCACAUUUCAUAUUGUGGAAGUUUUGGCACGAUUAUUUCCAGAUCCACUUGGUCCACUAGCAAGUUUUGCUGCAGAUCUUUUUGAAAUUUUGGGCUGUUACUUCCCUAUCCAUUUUACACAUCCAAAAGGUGAAGAAGUUGAUGUGAAAAAGGAUGAGCUGUCAAGAGCACUAAUGCUGGCAUUCGCUUCUACAGCUCUUUUUGAGCCAUUUGCCAUUCCAUUGCUUCUGGAAAAACUUUCUUCUUCUCUACCGUCUGCAAAGGUUGAGUCUUUGAGAUAUCUUAGCUAUUGCAGCGUGAUGUAUGGAGCAGACAGAAUGGCAAAACAUGCUGAAACUCUUUGGUCUUCAUUAAAAGAUACAAUAUAUAAUUCAUCACAACCUAUUUCAUCCUUGGAGACGGAACCACUGGAUGGUAUGGGUUUUCAGGAGAAUCAAAUUACAACAGAAGCUCUCCUACUUAUGCAAAAGGUUAUUCUGCAAAAUGAUGGCUUGUUCAUAAGUUUGAUUGUUGAUGAUGAAGAAAUAAAGUCGACUAUCAACUCCAUCACUAGUUUUAAGAAUUAUGCUGAUAUUCCUACGCAAAACAAGAAGAAACUAUAUGCAGUUGGUCAAAUCUUAUCUGUUUCUGCCAAAGCUUCCAUAGCUUCCUGCAAUAGAGUGUUUGAAAGUUUCUUCCUCUGCUUAAUGGAUGCUUUGGGGCUUUCAGGUUCAUCUGGGGAUAGUCAUCCAGAAGAAGAUUAUGAAUUUUCUGGAAGACUUAAAUAUGGAGCCCUAUAUCUUUGCAUUGAACUCCUUGCUGCAUGCAGAUAUUUGGUUUUGGGCUGUGAAGAAAGUUCAGUUACUGUGUCUGCACAUGAGAAAUGGUGCUGCAUGCUUCAGAGUUUUUGCUACUCAUUAACUGAAACCUUAUGUUGUACCCUAGUAACAAGUACAGACAAAGACAUUCAGAAUGCAUAUAUUCACUCUGGAGUGAGGGGCUUGCAGAUUUUGGCUACAUUUCCUGGAAGCUUCUUACCUAUAUCAAAAUCCAUAUUUGAAAAUAUUUUGAUGAGGUUGAUGUCAAUCAUCAGUUUGAAUUUUGACAAGGCAUUUUUGUGGAAGUUGUCAUUGAAAGCGUUAGUGGAAAUUGGCUCAUUUGUUGAUAAUCGUCAUGAAGCUGACAAGGCACCAAUCUUUAAGGGUAUUGUUGUAGAAAAGAUUGUUUCGUUGAUGUCUCCUGAUGAUUCUACCAUGCCUUUAUCACUCAAACUCGAAGCAAUUUCUGAGAUUGGCACAACUGGGCUGAAUUUUAUGCUGACAAUUGUCCAAGGGUUGGAAAAGACUGUAUUUGCCAAAUUAUCAGAGUCUUUUGUACAUGGGAAUGUCGAAUCAGCUGAGUCCACUGUUCAGCUUUUGGAAUGUUUCUCUAAUAAGUUGCUUCCAUGGUUUGAUAAAAUUGGAGGUUUUGAGGAAGUCCCAUUCCACUUUGCCAUUAAUAUUUGGGACCAAAUUGAAAAAAGCACUGAUUUCAGCAUUGGGCUCCAGGAAAAAGAACUUGUUGGUGCAACAAUGAAAGCAGUAAAGCUAGCUGUUGCGAAUUGUUCAGAGGAAAGUCAAAGCAUCAUCGUCCAAAAAGCCUUCAAUGUACUUUUAUCAAGUACUUUCUCAUCGAAGGAGAUCAUAUCUGGUACCACUUCAACCAAACUUGAAGCUUCACAGCUUAAUCAUGGUUUGAACAGUUUUCCAUGUAGAGACCAGUGGAGAGUUUCAUUGUUUGCUUCAGUCAUCAUAGCUCUUCGUCCUCAAACACACAUCCCAAAUGUAAAAGCUAUAGUGCAUAUAUUUUUGACAACCCUCCUCAGUGGUCAUGUUCCCGCAGCUCAGGCUUUGGGUUCCAUUGUUAACAAACUACCUCUAAAAAUCAACACAAUGGAGACCUCAGAUGGCUGUAGUUUAGAAGAAGUAUUGGAUAUAAUCUUUAGCACUAGUGUGUGGACUUCUGACGGUAAUGGUCUUUUAAGGAGGGUCUGUGGAACAGGUGAUGGCAGUGAUAUUAGUCUUAGUGGUUUAAGACUAAGUAAUGUAAACAAUAGCUUGCUUCACAUCCAUGCCAUUGUUGGACUAGCAUGGAUGGGAAAAGGUUUGCUUAUGCGGGGUCAUGAAAAAGUGAGAGACAUAACAAUGACUAUUUUGAGUUGUUUACUGUCGGACAGCGAUGUUGGGGCCUUGUCAUUGAAGCAGGGUCCAUCAAAAGACAGUACUGAGCAGGAUGUACUUGCUGUGAUGAAAUCUGCAGCAGAUGCAUUUCAUAUUCUCAUGAGUGAUUCUGAGGCUUGUUUGAACCGAAGAUUUCACACAAUUAUUCGACCACUCUAUAAGCAACGCUAUUUCUCAACAAUGAUGCCCAUUGUGCUAUCUUCAGUGGCGAAAUCUGAUUCCCCAAUCACAAGAUCCAUGCUGUAUCGAGCCUUUGCACACAUUAUAUCUGACGCUCCACUCAGCGCUAUGUUGAGCGAAGCUAAGAAGCUCCUUCCCAUAUUACUGGAUUGCUUAUCCAUGUUGAGUGAGGAGAUUUCGGACAGAGACAUAAUCUACAGUAUCCUGCUAGUCUUGUCUGGAAUAUUGACAGACAAAAAUGGUCAAGAAGCUGUUGUAGAGAAUGCACACAUCAUUAUUAGUCGUCUUCUUGGGCUUAUCUCCUACCCCCAUAUGAUGCUUGUUCGAGAGACAGCAAUUCAGUGUCUUGUUGCCAUGUCUGCGCUACCCCAUGCAAGGAUAUAUCCCAUGAGAACACAGGUACUACGAACUAUAUCAAAUGCUCUUGGUGAUCCAAAAAGGGCUGUACGGCAAGAAGCUGUCAGAUGUCGGCAAGCAUGGGCUUCAAUUGCAUCUAGAAGUCUUCAUUUUUGAGGAGGCAUAGAAGAAUUCAUCUAGGGCUGGCUAGAAAAAUGCGGGAACCUUUGCCCAUUUUUCACCGCACCCAAGUGUCGAUGCUGCGCCCCUUGCACACUUUUCGAAACACCCGGAAGCAGGGCACAUGUACAGAGGAAUAUCAGUGCACAUGCCUGCAACCGACUUGUUUGGAUGUUUUUUGGCGACAUUUGGCUGUGGACCUUGUGGUGAAACAUCGAAGCAUCCCCUUAGCAUGAGACUGACAAAUAGAGUUGUCAUGCUAUCAAGCUUACCAUAUGUACUGCAUAUGUAUAUAUGCAAAAUGUUGAGAAAUUUCUAGGUUGUUCUGCCUAUGACAGAUUAUUAUCUUUAAAUCAGUUUUUCUUGUAUUCUUUUGUGUAUUUAAUUUGUUCCGUUUUCAGUUUUCCCCAGGAAGCAAAAGUUUGGUCCUUGUUUCAUUUAUCAGGUGCAAUUGUAUAUUCAGAAUUGUUGUGAGAAACAACUUUAUCAUGGUGAUGAAAUAUGUUUUUGCUUUUUG